rnacentral:rRNA from 1 species
CGGCGAAGUUGAAGCGGUAAAAGCUCAAAUUAUGAAAUCCUGGUACUUAAAGUGCCCGAGUCUGUAAUUCUGUAGAAUUUUGUCUUUGAUUAGGUCCUUGUCUAUGUUCCUUCGGAACAGGACGUCAUAGAGGGUGAGAAUCCCGUUUGGCGAGGAUACCUUUUCUCUGUAAGACUUUUUCGAAGAGUCGAGUUGUUUGGGAAUGCAGCUCAAAGUGGGUGGUAAAUUCCAUCUAAAGCUAAAUAUUGGCGAGAGACCGAUAGCGAACAAGUACAGUGAUGGAAAGAUGAAAAGAACUUUGAAAAGAGAGUGAAAAAGUACGUGAAAUUGUUGAAAGGGAAGGGCAUUUGAUCAGACAUGGUGUUUUUUGCAUGCACUCGCCUCUCGUGGGCUUGGGCCUCUCAAAAAUUUCACUGGGCCAACAUCAAUUCUGGCAGCAGGAUAAAUCAUUAAGAAUGUAGCUACUUCGGUAGUGUUAUAGCUUUUUGGAAUACUGUUAGCCGGGAUUGAGGACUGCGCUUCGGCAAGGAUGUUGGCAUAAUGGUUAAAUGCCGCCCGUCUGA